UAUUAAAUUCAAUUGUCACAUUUGACUUGGGAUUAUGUGUUUGAAGUGCGGCGCGUUAGCGAUGCAUAAUUCAUCCCAGAUGUCCAGAUGUACUUCGGCUUACCAAGAGCUUGCUCAACUCUUGGAAAUGCCAAGUGGCGAAGUAAGUCCGCGCCCGCUGGCCAAAAGGCGCGGCUGUGAAAGAUGCGUGACAGGUGAUCGCCAUGACCUCAGCCAAAGAAGACGGGCGUAUCCGGAUCGAAGCCACGGAGCAGGUGCUGCAGAUUCUCCAUGACCACGUACCUGUGGACAGACACGAACCAAUCGUAGGCGCCAGCGUAGUGCUCCCAAACGUGGCGGAAUCCCUCGCGCGUUUUGUUCCACAGAUCCUCGUAGCCACCGCCUGCUG